CUGCUCCAAACGUGCGGCAUUUAAAAAUGAACACACGUCAGAUUAAAUUCCGCUUUGGAAUCGGUGAAUUCCGAAUUUCGUGCUUAGAAUUUCUAAGCUCCAUGAAGGAACUGAGAAUCGUGGAGAUUGUUGGACUCUUUGACGAUAAAAUUCACUUACUGGCGCUUUUGGGAAGAGAACUUCCCAAUUUGCGAGUACUUAGCGCACCUGGCACUAUGUUUGAGUUCACCAAUAUGUCUGAGGAGGAAAUCAGAUUAUCAUUUGGGCAUCUAAGAUUGCUUCAUGUAUGUUGUUUGACGUUGGAGGAAAAGAAGAGGAUUUGGUUGGUGUUGCCAAAUUUGGACAUCAUCUGCGACGUCUUACCAAGUGGUCUCACUUUGGAAGAUUUCCUUGAAGACGAAAAUAUCCCAAGAGAGCGAAAAUAUCAAUAUUUUAAUGAAUACGAAUGGGAAUCGAAUGUCGAUGGAGAUUUUUCCAGCAUCAGAUACUUGCAGAUCAGCAGUACAACUAUGCCCUUUAAAUCCACACCACAUGAGUUAGAGAAGAAUCUACUGAAUCUGCCAACGACACUUAAUUGUCUGGACUUCUCCAUGUUGAGUUUUCAAGAGACAAUUGAAGCCGUCCUGCUCAAAUCUGGAUCAAACCUUCGCUGGCUUUCCUGAACAGGAAUUGAUGACCAGAGCGUCGAUCUGAACCUCAUUUCUGAACUCUGCCCCAAUUUGGAAUUUCUCAGUUUAUCAAGAGUCCAGGUCAUUGAAAAUGCCACCAAACAGGCCAACUUCAGCCAUCUCAAAGAAUUAGAUAUGAAACGUGUGUAUGCAAUGGUGAAUGGAAGCUUAACUGCUCUUUUGUCCUCUUGUCCGAACCUGCGAAAGUGCAAUUUAGAAGUACAUAGAUGCUGCCUAGAUGAUCUGCAGCAAGUCAAAAAGUUGAUCAUGGAAAAGAAGAUCCUGGGUUCGUUGCAGUCUCUCGAAUGGAGUAUACCAGGCAUUACAUCAGGACUUGUUUACAAAGAAAUUGCAGCAAUUAUGAAGAAUGCGUCCGCAAAUCUCCCAGAUUUUAGGGAAAUGAAGUUCACAAUCAACCGUAUCAGACCCAAUAUCGAUAAUAUUCGCUUCAAGUGCUACACUUGGCCAAAUCACGAUGGCUUAAAUGAAGCCAUA